rnacentral:rRNA from 1 species
GAGUUUGAUCAUGGCUCAGGAUGAACGCUAGCGGCAGGCUUAACACAUGCAAGUCGAGGGGUAACAGGGAUUGCUUGCAAUCCGCUGACGACCGGCGCACGGGUGCGUAACGCGUAUGCAACCUACCUUCUACAGGGGGAUAGUCAAUAGAAAUGUUGAAUAAUACCCCAUACGAUCUUUGAAUAGCAUUAUUUAAAGAAGAAAGUUCCGGCGGUAGAAGAUGGGCAUGCGUCCUAUUAGUUAGUUGGAGAGGUAACGGCUCCCCAAGACAUCGAUAGGUAGGGGUCCUGAGAGGGAGACCCCCCACACUGGUACUGAGACACGGACCAGACUCCUACGGGAGGCAGCAGUGAGGAAUAUUGGACAAUGGAGGCAACUCUGAUCCAGCCAUGCCGCGUGCAGGAAGACUGCCCUAUGGGUUGUAAACUGCUUUUAUACAGGAAGAAAUGUACCU